GGACGGGUUAGUAACGCGUGGGAACGUACCCUUUUCUACGGAAUAGCCUCGGGAAACUGAGAGUAAUACCGUAUAAGCCCUUCGGGGGAAAGAUUUAUCGGUAAAGGAUCGGCCCGCGUUAGAUUAGAUAGUUGGUGGGGUAAUGGCCUACCAAGUCUACGAUCUAUAGCUGGUUUUAGAGGAUGAUCAGCAACACUGGGACUGAGACACGGCCCAGACUCCUACGGGAGGCAGCAGUGGGGAAUCUUAGACAAUGGGCGCAAGCCUGAUCUAGCCAUGCCGCGUGUGUGAUGAAGGCCUUAGGGUCGUAAAGCACUUUCGCCAGGGAUGAUAAUGACAGUACCUGGUAAAGAAACCCCGGCUAACUCCGUGCCAGCAGCCGCGGUAAUACGGAGGGGGUUAGCGUUGUUCGGAAUUACUGGGCGUAAAGCGUACGUAGGCGGAUCAGAAAGUAGGGGGUGAAAUCCCGAGGCUCAACCUCGGAACUGCCUCCUAAACUCCUGGUCUUGAGUUCGAGAGAGGUGAGUGGAAUUCCAAGUGUAGAGGUGAAAUUCGUAGAUAUUUGGAGGAACACCAGUGGCGAAGGCGGCUCACUGGCUC
rnacentral:rRNA from 1 species